rnacentral:lncRNA from 1 species
GACAAUAAAUGCGGUUUAUAUUAUAACAGCGAUAUACAACAAAAUAUAUAUAACAACAUGAGUUAUAACUUAUAUAACACUACACAAAAUAAUAUGUACACAAACAAUCAUUUACAAAACCAUUUAUACACCAGUGGAAUCACAAGCAGCUCAUGUAACUCUACAUAUAACAACAUGUACAUGAAGGACAACAUGUACAGCAAGGACAACAUGUACAGCAAGGACAACAUGUACAGCAAGGAUAACAUGUACAGCAAGGAUAACAUGUACAGCAAGGAUAACAUGUACAGCAAGGACAACAUUUAUAAUCAAGCGUUUAACCAUAAUAACCCGAUUAACUACAAUAGUUCUAUUAACUAUAAUAACGGUGUUAAUUAUAAUAAUGAAAAUAACUACAAUAACAACAUUAACUAUGGUAAUGACAUUACCUACAGAAACGAUAUAAGCUAUAAUUCCGACAUUAACAACACGAACAGUUCAUUUGGUUAUGUUAACAAUCUUGAUAUGCAAUCCCCUACUAUUCCUACUGCUACUAACACCAAUGCUACUACUGCUACUGCUACUACUGCUACUACUACUGCUACUGCUACUACUACUGCUACUGCUACUGCUACUACUACUACUACUACUACUACUCCCGCACCAACCAAAUACAACAAAGAUCGAAAUAAAAAUAUUAGAAAAAUUAAAGAAACCAAUAAACCAACAAAAAAAAAAGCAAUAAGAGGCAUCACAUCUUUUACCCUAUUUGCUAGAGAAAAAAGAAAAGAGCUUGUCAAACAAAAAAUAUUAUGUGGUAGUUCAUUAACAGAACAAACAUCUGCAGUUGCUAAAAUAUGGAAUAGUCUAUCAAAUGAUAAAAAAAAAGAAUGGGCUGACAAAGCUAGUAAAAUAAAUGAAGAAAAUUCAUUAUUACAAAAAAAAAAAAAAAAAAGAAAAUUUACCGCUUUUAGUAUAUUUGCAAGAGAAAAAAGAAAAGAACAUAAAGAAAAAAAUAUUGACAUGGGUUUAACAUUAGCUCAACAAAACUCUUAUGUAUCCAAGUUAUGGAAACAAUUAUCUAAUGAAGAAAAAAAUAGAUACAAAUAUUUAUCUGAUGCUAUAAAUGCUGAAGUAGCAAAAAAUACAAUAAAAGAUGAUAACCAAGAAAACAAUGAUAAGUUUAGUGGUUUUAAAUGGAGAAUUAGAGCAUUAGACAGUAUGAUGAGUCAACAUUAUUCCAAUAUUGGAUUGGAUUAUAACAACAAAACUGAGGAAAUGGCUACACAAGAUGCAAUUACCAGUAACACACAUGUAUAUGCCACUGCUAUUCCUAAUAAUGUUACAGACAACAGCAUAGCUGUAAACGAUGUUGAUAGUGUUAAAAUAAAUACGAACAACUUAAAUGUUGCUACUAAUAAAGCAAAGAACAAUGUUAACUCUAAUAGCCUAAACGAAAUAAACAAAACAGUGGAUGUUCUACCCCAAUCAUACACUAUAACAAAUGAUGAGUCCUUAUAUGAAACAAAUUAUUUAAAAGAAAAUAAAAAUAACAAAUUAAAAAAAAAAAGAAGAAAACAAAAAACAGACGAUAAUGUUUGUGAUAAUGGCAACGAUGAUAAGCCUAAUUUUAAAUUAACUGACAUAUACGGAAAUGUCAAUAGUAACGCAGAUUAUGGCAGUGCAGAUUAUGGCAGCGCAAAUUAUGGCAGUGCUAAUUAUGGUAGUGCAAAUUAUGGCAGUGCAAAUUAUGGCAACGUAAAUUAUGACAACGCAAAUUAUGGAAACGCAAAUUAUGGAAACGCAAAUUAUGGAAACGCAAAUUAUGGAAACGCAAAUUAUGGAAACGCAAAUUAUGGAAACGCAAAUUAUGGAAACACAAAUUACAACCAUAACACAAAUUAUGUUACUAAUUAUAGUGAUAAUUGUGGUUCUAAUUGUGGUUCUAAUUUGGGUUCUAGUUUGGGUUCUAGUUUGGGUUCUAAUUUUGGUACAAAUUAUCAUGUACCGGUAUACGAGUUACCUACAAACAGGAAUGUCAAUUAUUAUGAAGGUGCAUUUGUAAAUAAUAACAACUUAGAUGCUAACUAUAGACUGGACCAUAGCUUAGGCGUUGGCAAUCAUAUUAUGGCCACUAAUGCUAGUACUGCCACUAAUGCUAGUACUGCCACUAAUGCUAGUACUGUCACAAAUGCAAGUACUGCCACUAAUUCUACCACAACCACUAAUGCCACCACUUCUACUACUGCUACGAAUGCUACUACAGCCACCACUUCUACUACUACCACGAAUGCUACUACUACCACGAAUGCUACUACUACCACGAAUGCUACUACUGCCACGAAUGCUACUACUGCCACGAAUGCUACUACUGCCACGAAUGCUACUACUACCACGAAUGCUACUACUACCACGAAUGCUACUACUGCCACGAAUGCUAUUACUGCCAUGAAUGCUACUACUACUACAACUACUGCUGCUACUAACAGCAAUAAUGACAACUGUAAUAACAAUGCUGUGACAUUAAUAAUGAAAGGAGGAAACAAUAAAAAAAAAAAUCCUGACUCUGACAUAUGUAAUACGAUUAGCUACGACGAUAAAAAAAAAAACAAUAUUAAUGUAAACAAAAUAAACGACAAUAUAAUAGAUAACACCUUACUUAAUUGUAACAAAAUGAUGAUGUCUACACAUACCCCUUACGAUAUCAAUGGGUAUCAACAAUAUACUGAACAUACUUUGGAAACUUCAACAGACAUUGGAGUUAUAACAAAUAAUGAUAUGAAUAGCAAAAGUGGUAUAGUUAAUACAACAAACUUUGUAAGAGAAACACAUGGUAAUAAUACUAAUGAAAUUAGGAGUGGUACUGGUUAUAUUCCAAAUAUUGGUUAUAGUUCUAACACACAUUAUACUAUUAGUAACGACUAUAAUGUUAUUCCUAAUUCCCAUACGAGUGUCAACAAUAACAUAUCAUCUCUUCCAAACAAACAAAAAGGGAAAUUUAAAAAAGAGGAAAGACAAAAAUUAAAAGAAAAUAAAAUAAUGGUUAAAUUAUUUGAUAAAAGAAAAAAAGAAUUAUUAAAAACUGAAAAAUUGAUAGAAAAAAAUAAUAAAAGAAAUAAAAAUAAAAGUACAUCCAAUCAUAAUGGAAAUGGUAUAUAUUAUUCUUCUUCGACACACAUAAUGAAUAACCCUAAUAUAGAUCCUGACAAAAAAACAUUUAGUGAUAAUAAUAUUCCCAAUACAUUAAUAAAUAGCGCUAUUGUUAACAAUUUUAAUUUUUAUUCAAGUGCUAACAAAUCAGUUAUGAACCAUUUAACUAACAACAACAUAAACAUAAUGAAUAAUAAUGUUAAUAAUAAUGUUAAUAAUAAUGUUAGCAAUAAUGUUAGCAAUAAUGUUAGCCAUAAUGUUAGCAAUAAUGUUAGCAAUAAUGUUAGCAAUAAUGUUAGCAAUAAUGUUAGCAAUAAUGUUAGCAAUAAUGUUAUCAAUAUUGCUAAGAACGAUGAUAGUAGGAAUAGUAGUAACGCACAUAGUAUGGGUAUUAGUAGUAAUAGUGACAAUAUAAACAAUCGAAAAUUAUUAUAUUAUCCAAAUAUAAGCGACACUAAUAAUACAAUAAAUAAAUUAAACUCAAGUAAAACUACAAGUUAUAGUUAUCUAAAUAGUCAUGUAUAUGAUGCUGAAGGGAUAAACAAUUAUACACAUGUGCCAAAAGAGCAACAAACUAUAAAUGAAGGCAUUCAAAAUCAUGAACAAAUCAAAAAUAUGAUGAGUGACACG